AGUUUUCUAGCUAAAAAAAGUAUAUGUUUUGAAAACAUAAGAUAAGUCAAACUUGUAAACUU
rnacentral:tRNA from 1 species